rnacentral:lncRNA from 1 species
AAAACAUCAAUCCGAAUGUGUAUACCUUUAACAUAAUGGUUGAUGGAUUUUGUAAGGAAGGAAGGGUGAAAGAAGCUAAAAAUGUGUUAGCUAUGAUGAUGAAACGAGACAUCAAACUUAAUGUUGUUACUUAUAACUCUUUAAUGGAUGGAUAUUGCCUAGUUAAACAAGUGAAUAAGGAUAAGAGUGUGUUUGGAUGAGGUAAUUUGAAAUUUUUUAAAGAAUUUAAAAUUCUAGGCAAUUAACCUCAAAGUAUUUGAAUUCCUUCAUAACAUUACAUUUCUUCAAUAUUACAUUACAUUCCCCCAUCCAAAUAAUGGAAUUCACAUCAAAGUAUUUGAAUUCCCUCAAAACAUUACAUUCCAUCAAAACAUUCCUCCAUCCAAACACACUCUAAGGGUUUAUUCAACACUAUGGCCUCAAAGGGAGUAACUAAUGUUCCAAGCUACAAUACAAUGAUUAAUGGGUUUUGUAAGAUUAAAAAAGUCGAUGAAGCCAUGAAUCUCUUUAAAGAAAUGCAUUGCAAAAACAUUAUUCCUAAUGUGGUGACUUACAAUUCUCUUAUUGAUGGUUUAAGCAAAUCAGGGAUAAUCUCAUAUGUUUUGCAGCUUGUCGAUCAGAUGCAUGAUAGAGGUGUACCACCUAAUAUAGUCACUUACAAUUCUAUAUUAGAUGCUUUAUGCAAAACCCAUCAGGUUGACAAAACAAUUGCAUUGUCAACGAAAUUUAAAGACCAGAGUAUUCAACCAAAUGUGUAAACAUACACUAUUCUUAUUGAUGGAUUGUGCAAAGGUGGAAGACUAAAGGAUGCACGGAAUAUUUUUGAGGAUCUUUUAGUCAAGGGCUAUAAUGUAACUGUUAACACAUAUACCGUUAUGAUUCAAGGGUUUUGUAGCCAUGGCUUGUUUGAUGAAUCAUUGGCUUUGCUGUCAAAAAUGGAAGAAAAUGGUUGCAUUUCAAACGCCGUAACUUAUGAAAUAAUCAUCCGUUCUCUGUUUGCUAACGAUGAAAUGAUUACGAGAGACUUAUUGUAAAACUGAAACUAGGUAAGAUGUUUUCUAUUUAUCUAUUGUUAUAUUGUAUUUAUAUUUAAGCAUAAAGAAUGUACUAAGUUAUGAAAGUCGCACCUAAUUUUGACAAAUGACAUUACGGAGUGAAAUUAAAAAAACUUAUUUUGUUAGUAUGAGGUUACAGAUCUUUUGGAAUCUGCAUGAUGUUUGUUUUUUUGUUUUUCUAUAAGGAAAGGUGAAGAGAAGUAAUGAAAGGCUAAUAGUGAUCGGUAAAGUCUAGGGAGGACUGGUUUUUUGUUCAGCGGCCUUUUUCAACUAGCCAUUUGAGAUGUCACAACCCAUAUUCUAUCAAUCAUCUAUUCCUCUAUGAUAACUAGUUCUUAGUUAGUUGGAGUUUCAGGAACAUUGUGAGUAAGAGUAAUGCAAAAAGUUCAUUCCUUUCUAUUUUGGAUUGUAAUAUUCCUAUGCAAACUCUAAAUUCUUCUAUCAAUUAUUGUAGUUAUGUUUUCAUUCAUUUUUUAUAAUAUUUUUGUUUUUGCGUUUAAGCUCGUCAUGAGCUAAACCUACUUUGUCGUUAAUACAUGAUGAGGUUAUGAUUAUGUUUGGCAUAAGUUUGGUUAGUUGUAUGUACUAAAGCUCAUUUUAAACAAGUUGUAUUAGCCAUAAUCUUUAAAGUAAAACUUGAUCACUUUUAUAUUUAAUACCAAAUUCUCUGAGCUCGAUGGAUGAUGGGAAUGGAACUACUUGUUUAAUAUGAAAAAUGUUUUAAUGCUCUAGAGAGAUAAAACCUUGAAAGGCAACUUGAAUGUUUGUAUAGAUUUCUUGUUAUAGGAUAAAGACUUAUUAACCUUUCCAAAGAGAGAAAUGGUUAAGAUCUAACCUUAAUAUUGUUGCAUGGUUAACUUGGCCAUCCCGAAUAUCGAAAGAGUAGCAGGACUUUGAUCCUAAUAAUAUAUAGGCUUAAUUACACUUUUGUUCCUUACAUUUUGACUAACUUACGAAAUUGAUCAUACCUCUUUUAAACCGAACAAAAGCGUCCCUAAACUAUAUGUUUUUUACAAUUUUAAUUCUAUCUCCCUAUUUCCAACUCCAGAAACGCACAUAAAUGACAGUUUUAGUCCAACCACCUAUGCUCAACCAUGAAAUAAACAAGGAAUAAAUCAUGUGGGUACAAGGAAUCUACUUUGUUCAGCACACAAACCAAGAAAAAUCCUAAUUUCUAAGACAUGUUUCAGGCAUGUAACAUGUCUCGGAAAUUAGGUUAGUGUGCUGAAUAAAGUAGAUUCCUUGUACCCACAUGUUUUAUUCUUUGUUUAUUUCAUGGUUGAGUAUAGGUGGUUGGACUAAAACUAUCAUUUCUGUGCGUUUCUGGAGUUGGAAAUAGGGAGAUAGGACUAAAACUGCAAAAAACAUAUAGUUUAAGGACGAUUUUGUUCAAUUUAAAUAAAUAAAAAAGGACCAUUUUCACGAGUUGGUCAAAAUGGUAGGACCAAAAGUGUAAUUAAGCCUAAUAUAUAAACAAUGGAGUUGUUCAUGGCCUACUUUUUCUGUCAUGAGACAUGUUGACACAUCAUGCACUUGAAUCCAAAACGACACAAAUUAAACGACCACCUGAUUUGACGCACCAUUUUCUGGAAGUACAUCAAAGACUAAGAGAUGAUUACUGAAAUACGAGACUUUUCUUGAGGUUUUUAUGUAGGUCGAGGCAAUGAAAGAAUUGAACGUAUAAAGGCCUGGUUUGACCUCUUGAAUUUGAACACUUUUUCCAUCGUCAAAAGGUAAAUGAUUUUGUAGCUGUUAGAACAUUGGUGUGAUGUUGAAAGAAAAAAUUGGAAGAUUAAACACAAAGUAAUUGUACUUUGAUCUAAUUUUAAAUACUUAAUAAUGAUAAAAAUAAUUUAUUGGUGAAUAUCACUAUAUUUGAGUGGUCGUAGUACCAUAUUGAUAGUUUGGAGAAAUUAAAUUUAGAAUGGUGGUAACACCAUAUUUGAGUGCUCUUAGUACCAUAACAGAGUGGUAACAAUACCAUAUUAAAGCGAUUUCAGUAUUAAAGAGUGAUCUUAGUACCAUAUUUGAGGGUGUAAAUAUCGAAAGGUUUUCUACAAUGCAAUAGUUAACCACACAGUUGUAGCUGGACUUGUUUUAUCCUGGAGGAGGUGUGGUUGAUAGUUUGUCUUGCACAAUUUUGGGCAGUGCCACCAAACUUCUUAAAGAGAGCGACCUGACCGUGACUCAACCUAGUAACAACUUCGAUAGAUAUUCUUUAAAAAACUGAAUUUAGAAAUCCAAAUACAACAGUUUAUAAAUCCAAAACCAAUAAUUUUAAGACGUUUUGAUCUGCCAUUUGAAAAACAUAAUCUAUAGGGUUGUCCUGAGGAUCCAACAAUGAGUAUAAGUUAUAUUUUAAAAAGGAGUAAAUUUGCAAGUUGGUCUCUAAGAAAAAAUAUAUAAAUUAAAUUGGUCCUUAGUUAAGUCAAAAAAAAAAAAUUGUCCUCAGUAAAUAAUAAAAAUCAAUUUCAUCUUUAGCAAUAUUAUAUGAAAUAAAAUAAUUCUUUUUUAACAUUAUAUUGUAUGACACUUUAAUCUUAAUCAAUGGCUAGUUAGACCUAAAUCCUAAAAAAAAAUGCCAAUAUAUGCUAUUAAGACAUUUAUAUUAAAAGUAGAAAUUUUGUAUCGAAAAUAAAUCAUCAAAUUAAUCCCAAACUUUAUUAAUAUUUAAACUUGGGAGUAAAUCAUCAAAUUAACUGAUCAUAUCAUAUAACAAAUUAAUCCUAAACUUUAUUAAUAUUUAAAACUAGUCCCGUAUUUAUUAAAAGUUUUUCAAUGAUAUACCUUAUCAUUUAUGAAGCCCAGAUACUUUAAAAUGGAUGAUGUACUGUAUCCCCUGCGUAUCCUGCAUCGAUAUCUGUCCGAUAUUUCCCGAUAUUUUACAUUUUGAGUUUUAAUAAGUAGUUUAAAUUUAAUUUAAUUUUUCAUUGAAGUAUCGCAGCCGUAUCGUAUAUGAAAUUUUAAAUUUUUUUCAUAUCGACGUGUCCGUGCCGUACAUAUCAUGUAUAUGAUGACCUUCAUAGCUUGUCGUAUAACAAAAAACAAAAAACAAUUAAGUAGUGACUUGAAGACCAACAGUUUCAUUUGCCGAAAACCUAACUACACAUCCAACGAUGUUUCAUUCUUCUUCUUCUUCGAUGUUGCCGAGUUACUAUGUUGUUCCUGUUUCUUAUUUUGUUCCAAAAAAGUUUCAUUCUUUUCAAUUUCUUAAAAAUACCCAUUUCAAUUUCAUUCCUUAUUCUUCUUCAAAAAUAAAUUUCAUUCCUUACUCUUCAAUUUCAACCACAUUCCAUAACAACAAUGAUGUUGUUGAUGCUUUUUCUUUGUUCAGUCGCUUGCUUCGUCAGAAUCCCACUCCUCCCGCAAUCGAAUUCAAUAAGAUUUUAGGUUCCCUUGUCAAAUCCAAACAUUACCACACUGUUCUUUCUCUUUCUCAACAAAUGGAAUUUGAGGGAAUUAAUCCUGACUUUUUCACUUUCAACAUCCUCAUCAAUUGCUUUUGUCAAUUGGGUCUUAUCCCUUUUGCUUUCUCUGUUUUCGCAAAGAUUCUCAGAAUGGGUUAUCAUCCCAAUACCAUAACCUUCACUACACUCAUCAAGGGUCUUUGUCUUAAAGGUCAGAUCCAUCAAGCAUUGCUCUUUCAUGAUAAUGUGGUUGCGAUGGGAUUUCAAUUGGACCAAGUUGGUUAUGGAACCUUGAUCCAUGGCUUAUGUAAGGUAGGAGAAACAAGAGCAGCCCUUGACUUGCUCAGACGAGUUGAUGGUAAUUUGGUUCAGCCUAAUGUGGUAAUGUACAGUACCAUUAUCGAUGGUAUGUGUAAAGAUAAACAUGUUAAUGAUGCUUUUGAUUUAUAUUCUGAAAUGGUUUCUAAGGGAAUUUCUCCCAAUGUUGUUACUUACAGUGCUUUAAUUAGUGGGUUUUUCACUGUUGGUCAACUGAAAGAUGCAAUUGAUCUGUUUAAUAAAAUGAUAUUGGAAAACAUCAAACCGGAUGUGUAUACUUUUAAUAUAUUGGUUGAUGGAUUUUGUAAGGACGGAAAGAUGAAAGAAGGUAAAACUGUGUUUGCUAUGAUGAUGAAACAAGGCAUUAAACCUAAUGUUGUUACCUAUUGCUCUUUAAUGGAUGGAUAUUGCCUAGUUAAAGAAGUGAAUAAGGCUAAGAGUAUAUUAUACACUAUGUCUCAGAGGGGAGUGAAUCCUGAUAUUCAAAGUUACAAUAUCUUGAUUGAUGGGUUUUGUAAGAUUAAAAAGGUCGAUGAAGCUAUGAAUCUCUUUAAAGAAAUGCAUCACAAACAUAUUAUUCCUGAUGUGGUAACUUACAAUUCCCUUAUUGAUGGUUUGUGUAAAUUGGGGAAAAUCUCUUAUGCUUUGAAGCUAGUUGAUGAGAUGCAUGAUCGGGGUGUACCACCUGAUAUAAUUACUUACAGUUCUAUAUUGGAUGCUUUAUGCAAAAACCAUCAGGUUGACAAGGCAAUUGCGUUAUUAACAAAAUUGAAAGACCAGGGUAUUCGACCAAAUAUGUACACAUACACUAUUCUUAUUGAUGGACUGUGUAAAGGUGGAAGACUAGAAGAUGCACAUAAUAUUUUUGAGGAUCUUUUGGUCAAAGGCUAUAAUAUAACUGUCAACACAUAUACCGUUAUGAUCCAUGGGUUUUGUAACAAGGGCUUGUUUGAUGAAGCAUUGACUUUGUUGUCAAAAAUGAAAGACAAUAGUUGCAUUCCAGAUGCUGUAACUUAUGAAAUAAUCAUCCGUUCCCUGUUUGAUAAAGAUGAAAAUGAUAAGGCGGAGAAACUUCGUGAAAUGAUUACGAGAGGCCUAUUGUAAGACUGAAACUAGGUAAGAUGUUUUGCUAUAUAAACAUUGUUAUAUUGUUUUUAUAUUUCAAUUUGAUAUCGUCAUUUCAUUUUAUGUACUUGUCUCUGCUAGUGGAAAAGACUUUUUUUGUUGUUUUUGUUAACUGUGUAUAGCAAAACCUUUAUACUUCUCGUAUAUAUUCCAUUUCAGUUUCUCUAUAUUAAUAUUAUAUUACCUCAUUGAGAGUUUCAUCAAUCAAUUAUGAAAGUUGUGCACCCUCUUAUCUGCAGAUUUGGAUGUUAGUAUACCUUUCUGCUUUUAAUUUCAUUUAUUUAUUUAUCUUGAGUGAAACUUUGAAUGAUCCAAACUGUUUUAUAGACUAAUUUCGAUGGAACGGCUGCCUUAACAAAUGAUUUUAUAGCCAGCAUAUGGGGAUGAUGGACUUGGUAUGCUUGUGUAGCUAAAUUACAUUGCUGCAUAGUGAGUAUCUAAGGCCCCAUUUCAGCUUCAUAGUCAACUUAAAUAGGCCUUGAAAGAAGUACUGAGUGCUAGAAAGAUCUUGAAAUAUUGUUGUCCCCAUAGAAUCUCUUUUCCUGCAUAAUUCUAAUUUUUCAGUGUUGAGACAGAAUUUCUUAAUCGUGAUUGAACUUAAGAAAUAUCAGUUGUAGGAAAACAGGGUGGUUAAGAUUUGGCUUGAUGAGCCUAUCUUAUGGCUUCUAAAUUGAAUUGGCACAAAACAAGUAACUGCAUUUAUUUUAUCUUAGUUAUACUUGUACUUCUGCAUAAUUCUAAUCUUAGGAACCUUAACUAUUUUAGAAUGCUAAACUUAAGACUAAAAUGCUAAAACCUGAGUUGUAAACAAUAGAGACAAGCUUGACACUUAAUUGAAGAAAGCUAAAAAUGGGUAACUAAGGUCUGGCCUUGAAAUUGUUUGGUCACUAGAAAUGUAGUUUAGAAUUUAGAAAUUGCAUGCUUGUAGGAAGCAUGAUUCUAUUUCCGGCAUUAUUGUUGAUUUCAAUGUUAAAUUUGAUUCUUGGAAAUAUUGUAUGUUGUUUAAAGCUAAUUGAAUUCUUGCUUAAAUGAAAUCUAUGUUUCGAUACAUGUAUUGUUAAGUCAUAGGUUACUUUUCCUUUUCCCUUCAAACCCAAGCCUCUAAAGGUCAGAACCUCCAAACCUUGCUCUGCAUCGACUUUGGCCUGGCAUUGCGUUGACUAACAAAAUUGCCACCAUUUUUCAGUCAUCCAUUGUUUCUCGCGUUUCAAAAAUUAUUGAAUGUGGAUAGAAACUAAUGUUUCUCGUCUUAAAGAAUAUGAUUAUACAUCUGGAACAGUGAAGGUACAGGCUUGAUUUGGGAUCAGAGUGGUUUUAUCUUCAUGGCUCUACCUCGACUGAGCCCUUUCACUGCAUUGACUAACAAAAUUGCCACCCUUUUUUAGUUCUCCGUCGACUUUCUUGUAGAAAAAAAUUAUUGAAUGUUGUUGUUAGCAACCAGUGUUGCCUUUCUUAAAGAAUGUGGCUAUGCUUCUAGAUUAGGUUAGAUGCAUAUAUCAGUUUUCAAUGAUGAACAAUAGUAGUAAUGUGGUUGUGCUUAUUGAGUUCAGACCAUUUAGUUUAUGCUUUUCCUCUACCUAUUUAGUUUUAUGAUACAUAUGAACUGCACUUUGCCUCAGAAACGGAUAUGCAGCCUCAGUCGAGACAUGUUAUGACUGUAAAGACACAAUUAAUUAAUCCUGCGAAGCAUCUUGUAUUUGGCAUCCUUGUGAUUGUGAGUUUCUUCUAGUGUUUUGUACUUUUGAAAAUUUGGGGAUGGUCUAACAAAAAAACAUAAAACAAUUAAGUGACUUGAAGACCAACAGUUUCAUUUGCCGAAAACCUAACUACAGAUCCAACAAUGUUUCAUUCUUCUUCGAUGUUGCCAAGGUACUCUGUUGUUCCAAAAAAGUUUCAUUCUUUUCAAUUUCUGAAAAACACCCAUUUCAAUUUCAUUCCCUAAUUUUGCUUUUCCUCUUCUUCAAUUUCAUUUCAUAAUAACAAUGAUGCUGUUGAUUCUGUUUCUUUGUUUAAUCGUUUGCUUCGUCAGAAUCCCACUCCACCCACAAUCGAAUUCAAUAAGAUUUUAGGUUCCCUUGUCAAAUCCAAACAUUUCCACACUGUUCUUUCCCUUUCUCAAAAAAUGGAAUUUAAGGGAAUUAAGCCAAGCUUUGUCAGUUGCAACAUCCUCAUCAAUUGUUUCUGCCAACUGGGUCUUAUCUCUUUUGCUUUCUCUAUUUUGGCUAAGAUUCUCAAAAACGGUUACGAGCCUGAUACCAUAACAUUGACUACAUUCAUCAAGGUUCUCUGUCUCAAAGGUCAGAUCCAUCAAGCAUUGCACUUUCAUGACAAGGUUAUUGCGAUGGGAUUUCAUUUGGACCAAGUUAGUUAUGGAACCUUGAUUAAUGGGUUGGGUAAAGUUGGUGAAACAAAAGAAGCCCUUGAAUUGCUCCGACGAGUUGAUGGUAAAUUGGUUCAGCUUAAUGCGGUAAUGUACAAUACCGUUAUUGAUGGUAUGUGUAAAGAUAAACAUGUUAAUGAUGCUUUUGAUUUAUAUUCUGAAAUGGUUGCAAAGAGAAUUUAUCCCGGUGUUGUUACUUACAGUGCUUUAAUUAUUGGCUUUUGCAUUGUUGGUAAAUUGAAAGAUGCAAUUGGUUUGUUCAAUAAAAUGAUAUUGAAAAACAUCAUCCCGGAUGUGUAUACCUUUAGUAUAUGGUUGAUGGAUUUUGUAAGGAAGGGUGAAAGAAGCUAAAAAUGUGUUUGCUAUGAUGAUGAAACAAGACAUUAAACCUAAUGUUUUUACUUAUAACUCUUUAAUGGAUGGAUAUUGCCUAGUUAAAGAAGUGAAUAAGGCUAAGAGUAUAUUCAACACUAUGGCUCAGGGAGGAGUGAAUCCUGA